GUUGUUCUCAGUUCGGAUUGUAGUCUGCAACUCGACUACAUGAAGCUGGAAUCGCUAGUAAUCGUAGAUCAGCAUGCUACGGUGAAUACGUUCCCGGGUCUUGUACACACCGCCCGUCACACCACGAGAGUUUGUAACACCCGAAGCCGGUGGAGUAACCUUUUAGGAGCUAGCCGUCGAAGGUGGGACAAAUGAUUGGGGUGAAGUCGUAACAAGGUAGCCGUAUCGGAAGGUGCGGCUGGAUCACCUCCUUUCUAAGGA
rnacentral:rRNA from 1 species